rnacentral:tRNA from 1 species
GAAAAAUUAGUUUAAUNUAAAAUAUAAACCUGUCAGAUUUAUGAAACUUUUAAGUAUUUUUCU